GACGAACCGUCCUAACGUUGUUCGGAAUCACUGGGCUUAAAGGGCGCGUAGGCGGGUCGCCAAGUCUGGGGUGAAAUCUUUCGGCUUAACCGGAAAAUAGCCCUGGAUACUGGCGAUCUAGAGGGUGGUAGGGGCAUGUGGAACUUCCGGUGGAGCGGUGAAAUGCGUUGAUAUCGGAAGGAACGCCGGUGGCGAAAGCGACGUGCUGGACCACUACUGACGCUGAGGCGCGAAAGCCAGGGGAGCAAACGGG
rnacentral:rRNA from 1 species